CCGUUAUGGUCGGCAGUGUGGAUUUCCAAAUUGAAACAUAAUGAACCGAAUGUCUGGUGAAUUUGUUACCUAAACAACGCGCAGCAAUCGAUGCCAGUAAUUCGAGGCGUCUCGAAAGCAUGCGACGCUUCUCGUCGGUUCAAAAGCCAGCACAUCGACGCCAGCAUCGGUCCUGAGAUGUCGUAACUUCGUCACCGUUAGGACUGUUGAUAGUUGCAGCAGUAUCGACAACUCAACUUCGACGCUAGGAAGAUCAACCCCCAACGACCCCCGUUCGCCAGGUCGGGAAGGAAACGAGUCAAGAUUCCAGUAUACGCUUUCUCAGGUCUCGACGUUCGCUUCGGGGGUGCUUCGCAACGAUACGGAUCCCUUUGUUCGCGGCACGAGAUGGAAAGGAAGGUUUCAAUAACGUUGCUUCGUCGAACCAUCGGCCGUCUCCGUACGAGCACGAAUAAAUUCCCUGGCCAACUACUGUAUCCAUUACUUUCCUCUUAUCGACGCGCGUCUCUUCGUCGUGAAAGAGCGCGGCACGUGACCAUUCACGAGGUCUCUGACGUCGCCGAAAAGUAAAUAAGCCGUAAAAUAUCGCGUCGUCGGCGGCGCGGGGCGUCGCGGAGCAACGCGACGGGAAGAGGGCGAACUCUGACUGGAUUUCCUUCGAGGGAGGCUCGAUUUUGCCUUCGGGGGGUGCCAUGGUAUCCAUCACGCGAGUCUGUCAAACCCACGUGGGAUAAAUGUUGCUUGUAAGACUUCGUAGACGCGUCGGGUGUUCCGGUUACUUCGCCACUGUCCUGACGGUUCGUGUUAACCCUUUGACUGCGUAAAGGGUUCGCAUAUUUUUAAAGUAACGAUUUCUUUAUCUUGGAAUCGUCCUUAUAAUCUUAUAAUAUAAUAUUUAUUCUUAUAUCUGAAGUUUCAGAUUGAUAUUCUCAUAUUUUGAAUAGUUGAAAAUAAAUAACAUGUAUACUUCUCUUAAAAGGUGGAAAGGUUGUGAACGAACUGGUACCUAUGCAAUUCAAUGACAUAAAACUCUUACUGACUGAGUUAAUUACUGACGAUAAUUUUUUGGCUAUUCUUCUUUAUUCAUUUUAUAUAAUGUUAGAUGAAAGAUACAUCUGUAUUUAUGCAUUCUGCAAUAUUUAUUUGAAUUUAUAUUAUGAAGGGAAUCUUAAAAAAAACAACGUAUUUCGUCGCAUUUCUCAACUUUUGGUUUUAUGCAAUUAAUCAAUUUGUGCAAUGAACGACUCAAAUAUGUAUCAAAAUUCAAGCGUGCCUUUGAAUUUUUCUUAAAAACUGGCGCAAACUCUCCGAGUGUCGUUAAAAUUAUAAAUGUUGCAAUCUGUUUCAACCGAUACGGAGACUCUGUGAAUGGAUGGCAGCGAUGAAGCGCGUAGGACGACGCAAAACUCACGGAGAUGCUAAAUCGAUCUUGUAUCCGAUGGUCGGAGAACAAUCCAAGCAAAACAUGGACCACCCUAACCCUUUCUGAAAUCAGCGUUCGGUAUUGCAAGCGCGAAACUCGUGGACGCGUGAGACUGGCCCCAGUAGAAUAAAUGGAGGAAACAAUAAUUAACACUAUAUCGCUUAGAGAUAUAGUAGUUCUCAGGGAUCGAGGGUACGUUCAACAAAACUAAUUGGAACAAAUUGGGCGGUACUAGCUCACCGAGAACGCCGCUUUCCGUUCGCUUUAUCCUUCUGGCGUUUCUCCUUGUACACAACUUCUCCCCGAAGUGGAAGGAAACAGUUGGAAACAGAGACGUGGGAAUGGAAUUGACGUAUAAAUCCAAGUUCAUCGAGGUGUUAAGGGUUAAACUAUCGAGCAAUAUGAGUCGCGACGCAAGGUGGCCCUCCCUCCCAGAGCAAUUAUUCCAGCCUUGGCGGGUCGAAGAGUCGAUUAAAUCGACGAUACACAACGGAACGGUCCGUUAAACGUACCGUGAGAUUAUUCAAUUAAAACUUCGUUCCACGGUUAAUAAAAUCGUGGAGUCUGGGUAAUUGCGGAGAGAUCUGGAUUAUAAUUUCUGAUGAGGGUGGCCGCUGUUUCCCUCUUCAAAUGCGUUCUUGGGAUCGACAAAUGACGAUCGCUGAUUUGCAUUUAGUCCGGGAAGCGCAAAUGAACAAUGUUUGUCGGAUAAUCGAGUUCGGAAGUCGGUGCUUCAGGGCUGGGUGGGUGCGAGUAUAAAUAUUCAGUGAUCGAAGGGUGCGUUGGCUUGUACAUAUAUUCUAUGAUAUUUACGGAGUGGAUUUUUUAAAAAAUUAUUACAAAACUAAGAAGGUGGGUAAUUCAAUAUCGAAGGGUGAGGAGGUAUAAUUUUUUAAAGGUGCUUCAAUGAAAUUAACUGUGCGAGAUUAGGCAAAACUCGUCCUAAUUUUUAUGUGAUAUGUUAUAAAUUAUAUUCUCUAAAUUAAUAUGUUAAAAGAAGUGGAUAUUCUUUCACAGUAUUUGACAAUAAUAAAAUUCCACGUAUCUCGUAGAACUUAACGCGUUCCCUGUCUAUCAAACUGCACAUGGCACACGUAUUUCUCAAGCCUGUGAUUGUACUAAAUAUAAUACUGUUUCUCUAAUCGGUGACGUAUGUAUGUAUAUAUCGAAACGACU